UACGUAGGGUGCAAGCGUUGUUCGGAAUUAUUGGGCGUAAAGAGCUCGUAGGCGGUCUGUCGCGUCGGAUGUGAAAACCCAGGGCUCAACCCUGGGCCUGCAUUCGAUACGGGCAGACUAGAGUUCGGUAGGGGAGACUGGAAUUCCUGGUGUAGCGGUGAAAUGCGUAGAGAUGUGGAGGAACACCGAUGGCGAAGGCAGUGAUCUGGGCCAGUACUGACGCUGAGGAGCGAAAGCGUGGGGAGCAAACAGG
rnacentral:rRNA from 1 species